UUUAUGUUUUUCUAUCAGAAAGUUUUGUCUAAAAUGUUAUGAGUUUUUACAGCUUAAACAGACAGAUUUCACCGGGCCCACAUUACAGAGACAGUUAGAGGAGUUUUGCCAAAGAAGACCUGAUGAAGUGUAUGCAUCAUGGAACAGGCAGUGCAAGAAGCCAAGGAAGCAAAAACAACACACAGGAAUGCCAAGUCAGCACUAACACGCAGUGGGAAGGCCUUACACAUCCCGAUAGAAGACAGACCCUGGCACUGCAUGGUGGAGGUUGAAGGGACUGCAACAAGAUGGUUUGCUCUCUUCAUCAUUUAUAUGC